CGCCAAGUAGCUAAACAGGUAAUAGCGUUAGCCUUUUAAGCUAAAGACUGGUGACCACCAACCACCCCUGGCGG
rnacentral:tRNA from 1 species